CAGGGCUGCAUAGAGUGGUUCUGAGAAAUGUUGCAGAUCAAGUAACUCCUAUUUGAGUGCACGUCCUUUCUAAGAACUGGGAGGGCAUGCACUGAACCAGACAUAACCCUAUGUUUGUCAGCGGCAGACAGCGGUGGGAUCUCGACUUAUUACAGACUCAAGACACUGGAGCAUCUCCAAGACACACUGAAUAGAUUCUCUAAUGGAACUCCUUUGAGGCCUGGCUCCAUGUUUCACUGACAUCGCCUCGCAGACACAUCUUCCUGAUGACUCUCCAUGCUCCUUGGUGGGGAGUGCUGCUGCUCACCAAAGGCUUUCCAUGUGAGGGCAGACAACCACAACACCCUCCAUUCAAGCAGACCCUUUCAGAAGAAACAGGGCACUUACUCAGCAUCUCUGAGUGUCCUGGCACUUUGCAAGUGCCAUCUCCAAGAUGACGUUUUUCUGUGACGGUCACAAAUGCAAAGCAAGACAAAAUCCCAAAGACAAAGACCUUGCGUGUUAAUCAAGGAGAAUGUCAGAGUUCGAACACAUUUAAUCAUUGGUUCAGUCGACUGUGACCAAGCUGCAUAUUGUUUUCUCCUUAUUUGCCUGACUCUCAGAUGAGUUGGGUUUCUUCUACUGAAGUCCGGUUUUGCCAAAUGUGGAUGCAUUCACCCUUCUCCCUCCUAUCCUUGGGUUAUGGAAGACUCUCCGUUUUAGUUUCUUUGUGGAACCGUGUUCUUCUCUUUGGCCAGUGUGAUGGGAGCACAUUGUGCUGGUGAGAUCAGUAGGGCCAUCCUCAAAAGAGACCGUCAACUCUGCCACAAGAAAAAUAGAUUUCUGCGCAGGAUGCCUAGAAAGAAAGCACAUUGGGAAAAGCGAGGUGCCCCUGGUUCUGUGGCCUUGGUGGUUAUGGAGAAACAAUUUGGGGUAAGGCAAUCACCAAGCAAAUGUCUUUCAUUACAAUUGCCUGUCUUUUAAUUUAGGUUUGUUUGGUCACCUAAAUCCAACCUCUGUGACUAACAACUAUGGGGAAGUCUAUAACAGGUCUGGGACACCUUGUGGCUAACUUAACAGGAAGGGAUUGUGUGCACGUCUCCCCCACAGCACAUUGAGAACAUCAUCUCGAGUCACUGUCCUGAGUUCUAUGAAGACGGCAUUAUCUACCCAGUUGAGAGAAGAGGACUUUGGCUGAGAGUGACAAAGUCACACAGCCAGUGACCAGUGGAGACAGAGCCCCUGGAAGAGAGGAAAGGAGGUGUGCAAAUGUGCUCCCUGUGAGGUUGGAAGUGGCCUCUCACCUUCUACCUUACAAGCACCAACUUCCAUCUGUUAUUGCUGGAUGAAAGAACACGUUUCCUAACGAUUCUUUUUUUAAAAAACAAAAUGAGUUUCACUCUUCUUGCCUAGGUUGGAGUGCAAUAGCAUGAUCU
rnacentral:lncRNA from 1 species